UACCCUACAUUGGGCCACCCUCUUCCUCACUUCUCACCAAAGCUAUCACAACAGCAUCCCAAACUGGUCUCCCCGCCUCACACCUUGAUCCACUCGUCCUAUCAGCAUCUAGUGUGUGAUCCCUUUAUAAUCUGUUACAAAUAAACUGAGAGUGCUCUACUCGGAACCAGAUCCACUUCCUGACACAGUCAAGAACACAAUGAGCAAGGCAGACGAACCUCCCAUUCCCAGGAAAUUUAUGGUCUGGUGAGAUGGGAAACCAAGAUAUGAGGAUGACAAGGAACAGGACCUGGAGAGAUAACUCCUUGCUCUCUCCCCUUCACCGUUACAAAAGGAAAGCAGAAGAAGCCAGAUAUUGCACAUGACCCUGACCGCAGCCCUGCAGGCUCAGCUCUUUAAUAUUUACACACAGGAAGAGAAGAGGAUGAGAAAGAACAGCGGGGCAGGGGCUACCUGAGCUCAAAGGGCACAGAGGUAGAAGACUUGGCGAGCUGAGAGCUUGGAUUCCCCGUACCACCCCCAGCCCACUCCCAUACUAAGCUCUGGACUGGAAGGAAGAGGAACCCUGGGACCAUUCUGUCCCUUUGUUAACAAGAUACUUUGAAGCUGCAUCAGAAAAAGAUCAGAUUCCCCACCCACAUACCUGGACACCCCCACAAACCCAGAUUUCUUGGGUGCCUUAUGUGCAGACAGGAGAGGCAGUACUCAUACACAAGUGUGCUCGGAUGCUUGGCAUGUGCUUUGCCUGUGGGCUGUGGCAUAUAUGCCCAUGAACAUGUCAGUUAGGAUGCACAAGUUUAUGAAAGCGUGAAUGUAGUCACACAUUAACAACCCAAGAAAUCAAACCUGUGCGACCACAUUUGUAACUCAGCUCCCAAGCCACCUCACCUCUUUCCCCAUGGUUCUCCAGCAAAGAAACCUAGGGGAGAGGCCGUCCAGCCUUCUCAGACUCUCUUCUUCCCAGGCCCCUCCUUCCUAAGCCUCACUUUUUCUGUCUGUAACAUGGGAAGAAGGGCUAAUGGGAAAG